CGUUACUUCUCCUUCUCGACCGUGAAACAGACAUCGCAAAAAAUGGCUUGGCGCAGCGCCGGAUCCUUUGGCCGCUCCUUUGCCUCCGCCGCGGCGAGAGCACCGUCCCUUCGCCAUCGUCCGGCGGCGUCACUCCCCCGCCUCCGUCCUCCUCAAUCUUCCAUGCCCCGCCGCCGUUUUGCUUCUUUCUCUCCCUCCAGGAACCUUGGAGAACUAGGAUGCACACAGUCGUUGCUACCAUUGCACAGUGUUGCAGCUGCAGCCCAACUCACCUCUCACCUCACUCUUAAUGUGCGGGCUUUCUGCGAGCUGUCAAACGGUACCUUCCGACGCACUUGUCAGGAUCGCUAGUAGUGUCUUUGUAGGAAUGGAAAAGAUGGGUGAUGCACGUGGAUUUACAGUCGCUGACAAGAGAGUGCUGCUUCAUUGUACUUGAAGCAAGAAGAUAGAGUGCCAAAGUAUUCAUGAAGCAGUGGAGAGAGAGUAGGUGGGGUUGUCCGGAGAAGAACUCAUUCGUUCCGUUCAAUUAGUAAGAAAACUAAAUAACAAAGAAGAACGAUUGCAUCCUUCGUUCUCUUAAGACUCUCUAGAACUUUCACAGCUUGAAAAGAGCACGAGGCCUUGGGGCAUUUCAUGUGUCUUUUCAUGUUCCAACAACUUUAGCAAAAGCCGUGUUCUUUUGUUCUGUUUUUCAAAGAUCUUGGUUCGAAUUUGCUUGUUUGGUUCUAAUUGAGAUUUAUGUACGUGAGUUGUGAUCUUGUUCA